AAUUGUUGCUGCUGUUGCAUAGGGUUUUUUUCCUCUUCUCUCUGUGUUUGAGGAGCCAGCCUGCGUGAGAGCACCUGUCCUGAAGUCUUCUGGGUUUAACCCUUUCUUCACUGCAUUAAUAUAGAGAUGAGGGCCCAGUAUAAUCUGUACUCUAUAAGAGGAGAGUAUUUUGGCACGCAAUAAGAGAUGCAGUGCUGUAGAGAAUAAACCAAUA